AUAACACCAGCCACUCCCCUGCAGUUUUAAAAAAAAUCACGAGACCUUUCUCCCACUUUCCCGAAACUUCUUCUUCUUCUUGCAGCAGCCACCCCCUUUCAACCCUAUCUCUUUCCCUAAAAAUUUCAUCUCUCAAUCUUCCACUCAUCUCAUUCCAUUAUUCUGAAAUUUUCAAGCUUUUGUAUCCUUGUGUCUUUCCGCACACAAGGAGGUGGCUGGAGAAAACGGAAAACACUACGCAUUUCUUUGGUUGUUCUAUUUGAUCUCUUUAAGGUUCUGUGGAAAAUAUAGCGGUUGACCUUCCAAACAGCGGUAGAAGUCAGUGAUUGCGUUAUUUAGAUACCCAGUAGUGGAGUAACCGAUUUCCUGGGAUUUGCUGACACACCCAGGAACUUGAUUAUCUUUUUGGUAGGUCCCCAUUGUGUCUGAUGGAUAUUUUGGUUGUAACUCCAGCAUAAUGCAGCUAUAGGGACCAGGGUAGUACUAGAUUUAGAGGGGACUCCUUUAUUUUGGAAAUGUAAAUGACUCUCUUUUAUAGAUAUGAUAAUGAUGAACUUAUGAUGUUUUAAGACACUUGGUGAUUAGUGAUUUUAAUCCCCUUUGUUAUUAAAUGGAUGAGAUGAGAU